UUUUUGAUUUUCAAGUUUCAUUUAGAUUUCAGAAAAAUUAGAAAAUAAAAAUACGACAACAUACACUUAUGCUUUUUCCUUUGGUUUCUGAUAUAUAUAGCUUCCAAAAUAUGGAAUAUGAUUGAGUCGAAUCUAUUUUGAUUUUUGUUCGAGUUUGGGGUCGGAAUUUUUCUAGCUACCGUUCGUGAGUUCCGAUUGUGGUUCAUGUUCAUUUUUGUUGCUGUCUCUCUUUUGUUUGGAUUCUGAAGGCAAAAUAUUACAUUCCUCGAUUAUUCUAAUGGUGUUAAAGACGGUUUUGGGUUAGCAGAUUCGAGUCGUUCAGAGUUGGAUAAUCGAGGGAAAGGCCUACUAGUGGAUUGAGUUAGCGUGACUUGAGAUUCAGGUACUUCUUAUCAGACCAGGUAUCAGUGAGCUAGCUGUACCAGGAGACUUCAAGGUAUACCUGCCAGCGUCCGCAGGUCUCGGAAUCCCCAUCUAUCUUUACUAUCUUGUUUCUUUAUCUUUAUUAGACUCCGAUGUUUAGAGCUAUGUUAGAACUCUUUCUAAGAGCUUGUGACUUGUAUUUUUCACCGGAUUUUGGGAACUUUAUUAUGUAAUGAAUGGUGGAUAUUUUGAGAGUCUUAAUUGUUAUUUUCAUUA